rfam:Schistosoma mansoni strain Puerto Rico chromosome 1, complete genome
AUCCAGCUGACGAGUCUCAAAUAGGACGAAACGCACAUCAAACUGGAU